UACAGAGGAGCCAAGCGUUGUCCGGAUUGACUGGGCGUAAAGCGCACGCAGGCGGUCGGCGCGUGGGUGUGAAAUCUGGCCGCUUAACGGCCAGGCGCCAUCCCAUACGGCUCGACUGGAGUGAUGCAGAGGUCGAUGGAAUUGCCGGUGUAGUGGUGAAAUGCGUAGAGAUCGGGAGGAAGGCCGGUGGCGAAGGCGGCGCUCUGGAACAUUUCUGACGCUGAGGCUCGAAAGCGUGGGGAGCAAACAGG
rnacentral:rRNA from 1 species